rnacentral:rRNA from 1 species
UACAGAGGUCUCAAGCGUUGUUCGGAUUCAUUGGGCGUAAAGGGUGCGUAGGCGGCGCGGUAAGUCGGGUGUGAAAUCUCGGAGCUUAACUCCGAAACUGCAUUCGAUACUGCCGUGCUUGAGGACUGGAGAGGAGACUGGAAUUUACGGUGUAGCGGUGAAAUGCGUAGAUAUCGUAAGGAAGACCAGUGGCGAAGGCGGGUCUCUG